GAUGAACGCUAGCGGGAGGCCUAACACAUGCAAGCCGAGCGGAAUGGGUAGCUUGUUACCCAGAGAGCGGCGUACGGGUGCGUAACACGUGUGCAACCUGCCCCUAUCCGGGGGAUAGCCCUCCGAAAGGAGGAUUAAUACCCCAUAAUAUAUCUGUUGGCAUCCCUAGAUAUUGAAAACCCCGGUGGAUAGGGAUGGGCACGCGCAAGAUUAGGUAGUUGGCGGGGUAACGGCCCACCAAGUCGAUGAUCUUUAGGGGUCCUGAGAGGGAGAUCCCCCAAACUGGUACUGGGUCCCGAACCAGACUCCUACGAGAGGCAGCAGUGAGGAAUAUAGGACAGUAGGUGGAAGCCUGACCAGCCAUCCCGCGUGAGGAACGACGGCCCUAUGGGUUGUAAACCUCUUUUGAACGGGGAUAAACCUAUCUACGUGUAGAUAGCUGAAGGUACCGUACGAAUAAGCACCGGCUAACUCCGUG
rnacentral:rRNA from 1 species